ACCUGCCCUAUCGAAGUAGUAUAGAGAGAUGACGUCAAAAAUAAAACUCUGUUUGUGUUGUCUAUUCACAUAUAUACGUAUAUAUAUUUUUACCCCCUUUUUCUCCCCAAUUUCGUGGUAUCCAAUUGUUACCGUCUUGUCUCAUCGCUACAACUCCAGUAAGGGCUCGGGAGAGACGAAGGUCGAAAGCCAUGCGUCCUCCGAAACACAACCCAACCAAGCCGCACUGCUUCUUUAACACAGCGCGCAUCCAACCCGGAAGCCAGCCGCACCAAUGUGUCGGAGGAAACACCGUGCACCUGGCGACCCGUUUAGCGUGCACUGCGCCCGGCCCGCCACUGGUGCGCGAUGAGACAAGGAUAUCCCUACCGGCCAAACCCUCCCUAACUCGGACGACGCUAGGCCAAUUGUGCGUCGCCCCACGGACCUCCUGGUCGCGGCUGGCUGCGACAGAGCCUGGGUAUGAACCCAGAGUCUCUGGUGGCACAGCCCUAGACCACUGCACCACCCGGGAGGCUGUCUAUUCAUAUAUUAACACACACGGGUAGGUUUCUUACGUGGUGAGUUGGAAGGCGUUGUGUAUGAGGUGUGUUCUGUCCAUGAAGGUGAGAGCUGUGUGGUUGUCCUUCAGUAGUUGUAUCAAGUCGUCCCAGCCUGAACCAUCAUAGUGGACCAGGUAAUAACCAGCCAUGUCCACAUUCACCUUCACCCAGCCCACCUCCUCCCCCACCUCCACACUGUCUGAGGAGAGGAGAGACUAGGCAAUCAAUGAAUUAGUGAAACCUCACGAGCGAGACCACAACUAUCUUCCCUGUGAGUGUGGUCAUUAGGUGUCUUACCUGUGAGUGUGGUCAUUAGGUGUCUUACCUGUGAGUGUGGUUAUUAGGUGUCUUACCUGUGAGUGUGGUCAUUAGGUGUCUUACCUGUGAGUGUGGUUAUUAGGUGUCUUACCUGUGAGUGUGGUUAUUAGGUGUCUUACCUGUGAGUGUGGUCAUUAGGUGUCUUACCUGUGAGUGUGGUUAUUAGGUGUCUUACCUGUGAGUGUGGUCAUUAGGUGUCUUACCUGUGAGUGUGGUCAUUAGGUGUUUUACCUGUGAGUGUGGUCAUUAGGUGUCUUACCUGUGAGUGUGGUCAUUAGGUGUCUUACCUGUGAGUGUGGUCAUUAGGUGUCUUACCUGUGAGUGUGGUUAUUAGGUGUCUUACCUGUGAGUGUGGUUAUUAGGUGUCUUACCUGUGAGUGUGGUCAUUAGGUGUCUUACCUGUGAGUGUGGUCAUUAGGUGUCUUACCUGUGAGUGUGGUCAUUAGGUGUCUUACCUGUGAGUGUGGUCAUUAGGUGUCUUACCUGUGAGUGUGGUCAUUAGGUGUCUGUGGAUACUUGUUGAGGUGUCAGUCCUGUAUGUUAGAGGGAUGUGCCACAGGAACCUAACACAGAGAGAUCAGCGAGGGGAGGGAUGAGGCGCAGGAAUAUGACCUCACUGCACAUGACAAUCACAGAGAAUGUGUGUUUGUGUGUGUGGUGUGUGUGUUUACCCCUGCUGCAGGCUGGGCCAUGCUGGAUCAGAAGGAUGUGCGGUCCUCAGGAACCUCUCUUGUUUCAGCAGGAGAUGAGACCCCUGCCUAGUAACCGUUACCAAGGGCACACCUGUCUGCAGAGUCCAGGUGUUCAUCAUGGAUGUCAGGUCCAGGUGCUCCCCAGCGUACAGAUGCAUAACAGUGCCAUAGAGGAGGAUGCUCAUCAGCCACACAGACAUGACAGAACAACAUAGGAUUCUCCUCUGCCUCCCCAUUCUCUACAUUUGGACUGGGCCAGUACAUGGUGAUGUGUUGGCCUCCCUGGCAGGUGAGAGGGUGGGCUGGACGCUGCUGGUGUGUGUCACCUCUGACCUGAGUAGGGGUCACCUGGAGGUUAACUGGAUGUCACCUGGGGAGGGAAGUGAGUCCUGCCAGUGCUCUCUACAGUGUUGCCGGGGAGGAACAGAACAGUGGCCGUAGUGCCGUGGAGAUAGUAACGGUGGCGACCAGUGAGUCCUGCCAGUGCUCUCUAGUGUUGCCGGGGAGGAACAGAACAGUGGCCGCAGUGCCGUGGAGAUAGUAACGGUGGCGACCAGUGAGUCCUGCCAGUGCUCUCUACAGUGUUGCCGGGGAAGAAAAGAACAGUGGCUGCAGUGCCGUGGAGAUAGUAACGGUGGCGACCAGUGAGUCCUGCCAGUGCUCUCUACAGUGUUGCCGGGGAAGAAAAGAACAGUGGCUGCAGUGCCGUGGAGAUAGUAACGGUGGCGACCAGUGAGUCCUGCCAGUGCUCUCUCUAGUGUUGCCGGGGAGGAACAGAACAGUGGCCGUAGUGCCGUGGAGAUAGUAACGGUGGCGACCAGUGAGUCCUGCCAGUGCUCUCUAGUGUUGCCGGGGAGGAACAUAACAGUGGCCGUGGAGAUAGUAACGGUGGCGACCAGUGAGUCCUGCCAGUGCUCUCUACGGUGUUGCCGGGGAGGAACAGAACAGUGGCCGUAGUGCCGUGGAGAUAUUAACGGUGGCGACCAGUGAGUCCUGCCAGUGCUCUCUACAGUGUUGCCGGGGAGGAACAGAACAGUGGCCGUAGUGCCGUGGAGAUAGUAACGGUGGCGACCAGGGAGUCCUGCCAGUGCUCUCUACAGUGUUGCCGGGGAGGAACAGAACAGUGGCCGUAGUGCCGUGGAGAUAGUAACGGUGGCGACCAGUGAGUCCUGCCAGUGCUCUCUACAGUGUUGCCGGGGAGGAACAGAACAGUGGCCGCAGUGCCGUGGAGAUAGUAACGGUGGCGACCAGUGAGUCCUGCCAGUGCUCUCUACAGUGUUGCCGGGGAGGAACAGAACAGUGGCCGCAGUGCCGUGGAGAUAGUAACGGUGGCGACCAGUGAGUCCUGCCAGUGCUCUCUACAGUGUUGCCGGGGAGGAACAGAACAGUGGCCGUAGUGCCAGUGGAGAUAGUAACGGUGGCGACCAGGGAGUCCUGCCAGUGCUCUCUACAGUGUUGCCGGGGAGGAACAGAACAGUGGCCGUAGUGCCGUGGAGAUAGUAACGGUGGCGACCAGUGAGUCCUGCCAGUGCUCUCUAGUGUUGCCGGGGAGGAACAGAACAGUGGCCGCAGUGCCGUGGAGAUAGUAACGGUGGCGACCAGUGAGUCCUGCCAGUGCUCUCUACAGUGUUGCCGGGGAGGAACAGAACAGUGGCCGCAGUGCCGUGGAGAUAGUAACGGUGGCGACCAGUGAGUCCUGCCAGUGCUCUCUACAGUGUUGCCGGGGAGGAACAGAACAGUGGCCGUAGUGCCGUGGAGAUAGUAACGGUGGCGACCACUACGUCAUACAGCUGUUUAGUCAGUCACGCCAAGCCAGAGUCAUCAGGACACACCAUGCCACCUUCACAGGUAGGGCUCGGUGUGUGUGUGUGCGUGCGUGAGAGGAUGUCUUUUAAAUCUUGACUAUGAUGAUGACCAUAGAAGAGAGGAUGUCCAGUACGUCUCCUAGAGUAGCUGUGUGUUCAUGAGUUUAGGCGCGCUUCUCAGAAACUUGGAGAUUGGACAACUGGCUUCCACUCUGACCUAAAUCUCCGUCAGUUAGAAACACUAAGGGCUCGAUUCAAUCCGCUUGAAAUGUAAAGGUCAUUUCCAAUUGAGCCGAUAUAUGCAGCGUUAACCGUGAAUGCAGUCUCCACGAAUGCUUGAACACUGCCUUUAGAUUGUAAUCGCGCCACAGCGCUGAACUUCGACAAUACAGAUUGAAUCGAGCUCUAAGACCAGAGACAAUGUGAGAUAACGUAAGAUAUGUCAAUAAAAUGCAAAUCAGUUGUAGAACAAUA